rnacentral:lncRNA from 1 species
CCCCAUGAUAGGGUGAAGGCAGUGUACAAGUCAUAAACGAUUGGAGCUACCAUGGUGGAAGGCCACGAAAGAGUGUUCAAAGCACUCUCACGCUUAUCAACUUAAUAAUGGUUUGGUUGAGGGUUUUAGGUCUCAUCACAUAUAAACAUACAUUUUAAUCUUAUUAAAACAAUUUUGGUCCUAUUACAACUAUUGGUCCAUUUGAUUGUUUUAGUUGUAUAUAAUACUCCCACUAUGCUUAUAAGACGGUUUUUUAAAGCAAGAGUAUAUGAUACUACUAACAUAAGGUUUGCAUUCAUUGAUGGACUAUAUAGUUGCCUUAGGGCCUUAGGAUGAUUAUGAACCUUUUAAUUAGAUCCAACACGAGCCUUGUGUUGAAUCUCGGUCUAGGGAUGGUGAUUGAUUUUAGUUACGCGUUUAAUCACAUUAAGGCGUGUUGUCUUAGGGGCGUUGGACCCAACUACUUCAUUUUCAUGCAUAUCAAAUAAAGCAAGAAAGAAGUACUUCAAAGUAAAGGUGAGCUUAUGCUCAUUACAACAUUUGUAUAAAUCAAAUUACUUUAAAGUAAAGAAGAGCUUAUGCUCUUUUACAACAUUUGAUCAAAUC